rnacentral:rRNA from 1 species
GAUGAACGCUGGCGGCGUGCCUAAUACAUGCAAGUCGAGCGAAAAGAUGAGGAGUUUUCUCCUCUGACGUUAGCGGGGGACGGGUGAGUCACACAUGGAUAAACUAACUCUCCGACUGGGAUAACAUCGGGAAACAGGAGCUAAUAACGGAUAAUAUAUUGACCUGCAUUGUUCCAUAGUGAAAGACGGUAUUGCUGUCGCUUAUAGAUGGCUCCGGGCCGCAUGACUUAGUUGGUAAGGUAACGGCUUACCAAGACAUGGAGGCUUACCCGACCUGAGGGGGUGAUUGCCCAGACUGUAAGUGAGGCACGUCCCACACUCCGACGGUGGGAAGCAGUAGGGAAUCUUACGCAAGGGGCGAAUGCCGGACGGUGCAACGCCGCGGGAGGGAUGAUGGACUUCGGAUCGUAGAACUCUGUUAUUAUGAAAGAACAAAUGCGUAAGUAACUAUGCACGUCUUGACGGUACCUAAUCAGAAAGCCACGGCUAACUACGUG